CCUUUUCUAGUCAGUGAUCGAAAUAUUGCGCCAAUAUGUCUUUGGAAUACUCCUGGGGAAUUCGACAAACCAAAUGGGACCUUGCGAAACUGGUAUUGUCCGCUUUGCGUCACAAAUGAGGUGUACUUCCUACUCUCUUCGGCCACAGGAACAUGGAAAAACCCAUUUUUCAAGUCAAUCGUACUGAAUACUAAAGCGUCCUGCAAACGAUCUAGCUGGUCAUCUAUCAACGGCAAUGGGAAAUGAUCUUUUUCGAUGACUUUAUUGAUGCGUCUGAAGUCAAUACAUAGACGUUGCUUGCCGUCAUUCUUUUUUACUAGUACAACCGGAAUCGUGAACUCGGAUUCUGAUUCUUCAAUUACCUCAUUCUGCAGCCAUUCAUCAACCUGGUCUUCUAUGAUACGUGUUUCAGUCAUAGCAAACCGCCGCGGCCGCGAGAAAAUUGGCGUUUCGUCUUUAAGAAUUAUUUUCAUUUCAAUAUUUGUUGUUUUUGAUUUUUCCGGUUUACUAUUUCGCGAACUUUUUUUCGUGUAAUCUCGUUUAUCGCUUCGUUUAUAUUCAGUUCAGAAUUGUCCACCGCUACGUCGAUUUUCAUUAUGGACGCUUCGUCAUACGCACCUUCGUUAUUUUCAUUUGGCAUUUAAUUAACUUUUACUCCAUGGCGAUUAAAUGAUACUUCUGCGUGCAAACAAAGCUCUUCCCCGAUUAUCAGCUUAAUAUCCAUGAACUUAGCAGCAACAACAUAAAAUGUCAAAACAUAUUCUUCGUCGUCAAUACGUAUGCUAUGUUCUACUUGACCAAUCGGCUUGAUAUUGUCAGCCUUGCUUUCACUUCCGAAACC
rnacentral:lncRNA from 1 species